UACGUGGAGGGGCAAGCGUUGUCCGGAUUUAUUGGGCGUAAAGAGCGUGUAGGCGGCUAGAUAGGUCCGUUGUGAAAACUCGAGGCUCAACCUCGAGACGUCGAUGGAAACCAUCUGGCUAGAGUCCGGAAGAGGAGAGUGGAAUUCCUGGUGUAGCGGUGAAAUGCGCAGAUAUCAGGAGGAACACCAAUGGCGAAGGCAGCUCGCUGGAACGGUACUGACGCUGAGGCGCGAAAGCGUGGGGAGCGAACAGG
rnacentral:rRNA from 1 species